rnacentral:ncRNA from 1 species
CAAAGGUUUGGUCCUGACUUUACUGUCAGCUUUAGCUAGAUUUACACAUGCAAGUAUCCGCCCCCCUGUGAGAAUGCCCAUAGUGCCCUUUUCGGGAACAAGGAGCUGGUAUCAGGCACACAUUUACGUAGCCCACGACACCUUGCUUAGCCACACCCCCAAGGGAAUCCAGCAGUGAUAAAUAUUAAGCCAUAAGUGAAAACUUGACUUAGUUAAAGCUAAGAGAGCCGGUAAAACUCGUGCCAGCCACCGCGGUUAUACGAGAGGCUCAAGUUGACAGACAACGGCGUAAAGAGUGGUUAAGGAAAAUACUCAACUAAAGCGGAACCCCCUCAUCGCUGUCAUACGCUUCCGAGGGGAUGAACCCCAACUACGAAGGUGGCUUUAUAAAACCCGAACCCACGAAAGCUAAGAAACAAACUGGGAUUAGAUACCCCACUAUGCUUAGCCUUAAACAUUGAUUAUCUAUUACAUCAAACAUCCGCCCGGGAAUUACGAACAUUAGUUUAAAACCCAAAGGACUUGGCGGUGCUUAACAUCCACCUAGAGGAGCCUGUUCUAGAACCGAUAACCCCCGUUCAACCUCACCCUCCCUAGCCUUUUCCGCCUAUAUACCGCCGUCGUCAGCUUACCCUGUGAAGUAUUAAUAGUAAGCGCAAUUGGUAUAACCCAAAACGUCAGGCCGAGGUGUAGUGCAUGAGAGGGGAAGAAAUGCGCUACAUUCGCUGCUCAUCAGCGAAUAACGAAUGAUGCAUUGAAACAUGCAGCUGAAGGAGGAUUUAGCAGUAAGCAGGAAAUAGAGUGUUCCGCUGAAACCGGCUCUUAAGCGCGCACACACCGCCCGUCACCCUCCCCAAGCUCCUGGACCCCAACAGUAAUUUUAAACCCUAACAAAUGCGAAGGAGAGGAAAGUCGUAACAUGGUAAGCGUACCGGAAGGUGAGCUUGGUAAAAU